AUAACCGGUGGUGUGCAAAAGUAAUUCUCGAAUUUAUUCCGUCCCAAAUUUCACUUACUCACAGACUCCUUCUGUUCUGUUCUACUUCCUCCUCCUUCCGUCGUUGUCGGUGGUGACGUUCCUCUUCUGCUCUUGAUCUCGUUGUUCUGCUCGUGUAAAAUAAAAUAGAUGGGUGGUGCAUUUUGGGGGACGCGGGUGAUGGAGGUAGUGAAGAAGCAUGAUUCUGGAGGACUUGUUUGGAAGAGAAUCAAGCUCACCACCACCCGUAAAGCCAAUGCCAAGAAGCGUCUUCUCCGUGUGUGGCAGAACGAAGCCGUCCUCAAGGCAUGUUCUGAACCAUCUUCUUCAGUAAGUUCUUCUGCCAGUGCAAACAAUGUUUGCAAAGAGUGAUUUAAGUUGAAGGGUGUCCACCUGAACGUUGUUCCAUCAGUAAUUUUGGUUCCCAAUUCUAUAUUAGUUUUUGCUCAGACAGUUGAAAAUUUUGUAGCAAGAUGUUCAAUUAGCCACUGGUUUCCACUUUCUAACAAAAACUACUUUGUAAGUUGUAACCUUUUUAGGGUGUAUAAGCUGCAAAUCCAUUACAGCUUUUCAGAGCUUGAACCUA